rnacentral:lncRNA from 1 species
AAGAUUGGCAACAUGUUUAUGAGUAACUGUAGGAACAUAUAUAUAAAGUAACAGCUAAUUUGAAAGUUGGCAUCACCCCAAACAAACAAGUUACACAGUGAAGAGUGUAACACUAAGAGUAAAAGGGUAACCGUAACUAGUUUGCCCCCAACCUGAACAUGGUAACUGCUGAGCCACAUGAUAAACUAUUUUUUCUUACAUUGGCUUUCGUGCAGUUGAAAUAAGAAUUCCCACAUGUAAGGGCAUUUCCUCAGCCUCUUAUUUGCCGUGUGUUGUAGGAUUUGCAGUUCAUGCACUUUUGGGCAACAAGAUGGUAUUGGACGUGAGAAGUUUUAGUACAAUCAUUGCAAAGGAUCCAAAUCUGUUCAGAGAAUAUCAUCUUUAGUUCUUCACAAAUCAAAAGGUCAGGUAACUUAUCUAUGCUUUCAAUCCACAACAAAUUUCUAAAAGUUAACUACUGUUUCAUUAUGCAACCUUCACCCUCUAUCAUUCCCUCAUUUGCCUAGUCACAACAAAGCAUCAAUAAAUCAAGGACUAGAUAUAUCGUUGCAUAGUUUAUUGUCAUGAGGACCUUAUUACACGAAAGAAAAAAUAAAAAUAAAGAUACUGACCAUUUUGUUUCGAUAUGCUUCAGGCAUUGGUGUAGCAGCAAUCUCCAUGUCAAGCUUCUCCCAAAUCAUUGACAUGUCACAAACUGACUUCGAGCAGAGAGGGCAUGCAUACCUGAUGCAGAAUCAAACCCAAAAUCAGCUCAUAUACUGCAGUAGGACUUCAAGCAGAUAGAAGAGAGGAGACAAGAGCUGUGAUACUCACUGGAAAUGUUCCCUCAUUUCAUUCAGGCAGCUCUUAUGUAUUGUAUGUCCACAGGGCAAAACAAGGACAUCAUUCACAGAUUCAAACAAAUACUGUAAUCACCAAAUUUGUUGCACUUUGUCAAUUCCAGUAACUCAACAAAUUGGGAAUUAGUCAGGGAGCUGCUGAAAUCAGAGAUUUCUAAAAUGUUACCUCGAAACAAAUGGGGCAAUCGUGAUGCAUUGCUCCUUCCACACAAGGGUGACUGUUUUUCAUCUGAGUUGGAUAGCAACAACCUGUGCAAAGAAAUCAUGAAAGCAUUAUCAGUAUGUAAAUCAUUUUGACACCACAGUGUUGACAUGUAGCGUUUAUUAAAACAUGAACAACAUGGGAUAAGAAUAUAUUACUUACCACAUUUGUAGCAGUGGAAGACAUUUUCACAUCCUCCAGUUCUGUAUCAAAACAUAUCCGAAUCAAUCAGUCUGAAUCUUGAUACUAAAUAAAGUCAAUCUAACAGUGGACACUGAUGAGUCAAUCGAUAUAUAAAAUACACGCACAAGAUGCAGUUUUAACCCUUAAGAUAUAGCUGAGCGGGUGUGGUGGGGGGGUUUCAAUAUUUCAGAUAAUUUAACUUGAUUCUCAUAAACACUUCUAUAAGAAAUAAGAAGCUUAUGAAAAAGCUAACUUCAAUUUUAGUUCAUAUUUUUCCUCCUAAAAUUAAUGGUAGAAUUCAUCCAAAUAGACCCUUACUCACUUCAUACCUGCAAAUUCCACAGCCACUGCAAUGAUAUUGCUUCUUCGAUACCUGCAGCAGAUAAAAUAAACAACACAGUUUAAUAAUGUAACACAUUCUAUCUAACAAAAAUGUGAAACGACUGUCAUCAUUACGGGAGAACAAACAACAUAAUGGAAAUCUGGGUAGUUAACAGUUCUUAUAAUCAGUUCAAAUCCAUCACUAAACCACUUAACUCAGUAGAGAGAAUAUAAUCUGGCUUUUUAGCAGAUAGAAUAAAAAGACGCAUAUACAUAAAACAAAGUAAAAAAAUUAAAUAAAAGAAUUAAAAAGUUCUGGAUUAAGCACUCACAUCAUCAUCAAAGAGCUUGCAGGUCCCACAGAAGUACUUGCCCAUACAAACACCACAGUUAAUACAGUUUUGCUGAACCUGGAAGCAACAUAUAUUGACACAAGAAAAACUACAUUCACGACAUAUUCUUAACAAUGCAAUAUCAAUAUUCAUAGUGAUCUUAUCGACGGUUUGACAAACAAUGUAUGAAUAGUUCAGUAGUUUCAACUUAGAGGGAUCAUUACCCAGUCAUAUCUAGAAGAUUGUAACAAAACUAGUAACUGUUUACACUUUGCCUAAACCAUCUAAAAGAUAUUUUAUAAAUUAAAAACCUAUAAAGUUCCUCUUAAUAAUGAAUCGUUCUGUUUAUUUCUGGGUAGGUGAGCGCUCUCGCGUACUCACAUGCAGAGGUCAUCUCCUACCAACACAUCUUACUAAUACCCUGGUCCCCGGAAACUCUUCAACGGAAGAGGAAUAAAAAAGUAAACAAACACCUAUUCUUGGUUAAGUACUCUCGAGAUACUACUAUCACUGAAAAACAAUAAGAAAUUAAAAGAUUAGCUUAACUUUUUUUACGACUACACUAGUUAUUUUAACUAUUAAUAAACUGGUUUUUGUCGUGAUAAUUGUAUACUACCUAUAGUCCUUAAUAUGAAGGAUACUUUAGCAGAAAACGGCGUUCCUAUUGUACAGAGGAUUUCAUAAUUGCUACAAAACAUUAAAUUUCUUUUCUUUAUUUCUCCCCAUAAUAUUAUGAAUGGAUAUGUGUAUUCUAUUAAUAGUGAAGUCUAUUAAUAGUGAAGGUACAUUUGGUACAUUGAUAACUGAAUUAAUUAUUUUUAUUGGUCAAUGUGAUUAUGUUAGAAGUGUCACUGUAUCUUAUAUACCAUCGUGUCACUGUAUGUUGUAUUUUAGAUAUUAGUUAUGUCCAGGUGCCUGUCACAACAGCUGGUGCUUCAUAGGUCAUCAUUACUCUAUUAUUAGACAAAACUUAUUUAAUCGCCUAAUCAAGUGUUAGAUCUUGCAUUACCAUUAACAUACCAUUGUGGAAGAUUACACUGAAAGAUAGCCAGAAAAUCUAAACUCACCUCUUGUUCGGUCUCACAAAGUGAACAUAUAACCUGCAUUUGUCGAGUUACUAAUUAGCACUGCUUCAACAGUGAAACAACAGAGGGAAAUGGAGCACGAAAUAGCGGAUAUCCAAAUAAGUUAUGUUAAAAUAAAUAAGGAUACCUGUUUAACUUGAUGGCGGGGAAUAUCGUGUCUGUGCUUCUGAUCAAUGUUGAUAUUAUUCUAGAAAAUAACAAAAUAACAGCACCAAAAAUUAAAAGGAAUGCUAAACAUAAAGGUUAUACAAAAUGACACAUUUUCAUUCUAUUCUCAGUUUUAACAUCUGAGUCAGCUUGAACAUAAUUUAUGAGAAAGGACCACACAUUAAAACAGUAGGUCGAAUUUACUGUCAUUUGCUGUUCAAGUUUACAGAAUCUUUUUUCCGUAGGCAGUGCCACAAAAUGGCCCCAAAAUGAACAGGCAAGAAAAAUUGAAAUCAGUAUUCGUUGGUUCUAUGAAUAUUGCAUCAAUUACAAGAAAUCAAAAGAAAAAGAGAGAAAGGUUUCCUAAUUUUAAAAUAAGAUGGAACCUUGUCAUUAAUGUCAAAAAGACAACAAGCGUAGAUAAAGUAUAUGAAUAAAAACAAUCAUAGCGAAAUACUAGGAUAGAAAUUAACUCACUUUUGCCUCAUUGUGACAAUGGCGGCAAUUAAAAAUCUCAUUGCAACAGGGGGCCCUAAUACGGCAUCUUCUCCGGUAAUGUUGACAUCUGCAGGAGAAACCAAUGUCUUUUACAAAAAGAAAAGGGAAUGGAAAAAUGUAAAUAGAAAUAGUGUAGGAAAAUAGACUUUACCCAUAUUCCAUAUAUCCUCUCUCACGCAUAGUAUUGAUCUUUUGGUAAUUUGUUGAUUGACUUGAUUCUUCUCCAAGUAGGUGCUCUUCGUUUGAUGUUAGAUGAUUAUAAACGUCUUUCUCAGUCACAUGCUUCGUGUCCUUGCAGUCAAGCUGCAGAGACUCAGUGUGCAAUACUGCCACCACUCCCAUGAUGCAAGCUAUCUUCAGAUAAGAUUAAAAGCUAUCUAGAAGCAGAAGUAAGCCUGAUGAUCUGCAUGCAAGAAAGUAUUUAGGAAUAAGCCCAAAACUUCUACAAGUCAAAUGUUGUCGCCCCCAUCAAACCAGGUAAACAUUGAAUGCACUGUUGCUUUCUUCUACACUGCUGAAGAUCAAUUGAAAGCAGCAACAACAAAAUUGAAUUCAGGUUGGCCAGCUCCAAGCAGUAAUACUCCAAGAGGGAACACACCAAAACAAGAGCAUACACAAUAAUUCUACAUAAACCAAUAGAUUGCAACCAACACAAUGAUCACUUGAUUUCUUGAAGAACUUCUGGAAUCAAGUCCCAGUAUACUGGAGCCAAGCAAUAGACACCCCAACUAUGUUUAGAGCAAUAAACCACUCGAUCAAAUAUGCCUUCCAAAUAAUGAAGAUGGAGUAAUUAUAUCUUAAUUUUAUUCUCCAUGGAGGACCGGGCCUUCCAUACUUGGUAGUUCUGCAAGACUCCUCCAAGAACUGAAACUUACCAAAAACAAAUACUUAAAAGGUUACUUUUUCAAUUGGUCCCUAACUUGCUAAAUUUUUCUGAGUGAGUCCUCCAAAAACUGAAAUUUACCAUGGUAUAUUUUACUAACUAUCAGGGUACAUUUGGAAGAACAAUUUAAUCAAAGUUUCUAACAUGCUUAUUAAAUGGGAGCUUAGUUAUAAAACUUAACUGCAAAUUUAGGCUAAAAAGCUUAUUUUGAUAAAUUUGCUCGUAAGACCUUUUUCAGCUGAAAAAAAAAAGGCCUCAAAGGUCGCAAGACCAAAUAAACCCCUUAAAUCACUCACAGAUGUUUUCAUAUAGAUUAUAUUGGCUAACGCCAUUUAGACCCGAUUGAUGCUUGUUUAAAGUCAAUGUAGGCCUUUUUGCCGUUGCUGCAAUCGACUUUAUUAUAAAAGUAUAAAUAUCUAAUCAAAAUUUUACACACCAAAAAUGCCUAUUUGAGAAUUCAAUGAAACUAAAGGACCAAUAGUUUAACCUAUUAUUGAAAUUUCAUUCAAUCUGCGCUUUCAUAGAUCCCUUUUGGUUAAAUUAAUUUUUGUUUUCCUUCUUCUUCUUAUUUCAGUUAGCUUACUUGACAACGUAUUCGUUCAAGGUCGUGACCCCUUUGCAAAAGGAUGGUUCACACAAGUAAAAAGACAAAUCCAUAUUAAAGAUUCAAAAUCAUGACGUCCUUGUCCAUAUUCCAAAUAGGUUUCUCUCCAAUGGAAACUUCACUAGGCCGUAGAUGAAAAGCGGGACGGAAGAAAAAAGAACACGAAGAUCGUUAUAUUGAUAAUGAGGAAUGCUAACAGUCUCUGACACUCUCUUCCCAAGACUUGGUUAGAAUUUAUUAGAAAUCAUAAUUUUCAGUGGUUAAAUUUCUAAAUCAGGAGAGAAAAAUAAGAGGAACUCACCAGAAAGUGUUUUUUGAACAGCCGAAGCAUCAAGCCAACCCUUUCACUGUUCAUAUAGGCAAAGAAGCAGAUGCAUAAUCGUCAUGAAUUAUGCAAAAGGAAAUUCCAUAAAUGCUUCAACCAAACUAAAUUUCUAUCAUAUAUCUUUUGUCGCCGCUAAUAGAAGGUAUUAAAGACAGACUAAAAAAAAGGUAUUGUAGACAAAAGGCAAGGAUACGGUAAUAAAAAUGUGCUUUUCGGGCAACUCUGCCCUUCAGAAGUAAAGGGAUAAUGUUUUGAUAAAGGGAAUCCUCUGAAAUUACAAUACCCUGCAAAACAUUUCAACUCACAAUCGCAUGCUACCGACAUCACCAGCAUCACCCUUCUACCUCAAAACAUUUGCAGCACAAAUCCUCUAUAUUAUCGACUGGCAAAGAAGAGGUAUAGAGAUUCUCCACAAUAGAACAUCUCCAUAAGAUUAGUACCAAAACUGGGUAGUCCAAGUCUCACCGUAAUGCGAAUAUGCGACUCCACAAACAGAAAGGACGAUUAUAGUAGUCGGAGAAAUAGAAUCUACCUCUUACAUUUAUAAGACUCAAUACACUACUGUAAAUAGCUGAUUGUGAUUCUGCGUUUGAAUGCAGAAUACACUCACGAGAUUAACGGAAGAAAUAGCAAAAGCAGAAAACGCUCAGCCCCUGAAUUUUCAUAGAUGCACAUACAUACCAUCAUAUACAAUCUGAACUAUAUACAAAACAAUAACAUAAACGCAAUCAAUACUUCCCAAAGCAUUUAAUAACACACAAUUCAAGUCCAAAACUAACCGUCCAUAAAAUCAUCAAACACCACAAAGAAAGCAAUCCCACACAUUUUGUCAAUUGACAGCAUCAAUUCAACCAAGCUUUCCCGAUACUUGAAAUGAUGCUGCAUUUCUAGAAACAAAGCACAGCACAAACUUAAAGAGAAGAGAAGAAUAAAAUAAGCACAAUAGCAGGCAAAGGUAGCAAAGAAAGAAGAAGAAAUGGUGGAAAUUUUAUGAUAGUACUACGAACUUUAGAGCCAGAGAGAAUGUUGGGCGAUCCAAUUCAAAAUAUAGAUACGACGGUGGUGUCCCAAAUCGAAAGUAGAGAUUGGUAUCUCUCCCCUGACCCAGCACAAAAGGAUGUGGAGGAGGAACACAC